rnacentral:rRNA from 1 species
AGAUUGAACGCUGGCGGCAGGCCUAACACAUGCAAGUCGAGCGGUAGAGAGGUGCUUGCAUCUCUUGAGAGCGGCGGACGGGUGAGUAAUGCCUAGGAAUCUGCCUAGUGGUGGGGGAUAACGUUCGGAAACGGACGCUAAUACCGCAUACGUCCUACGGGAGAAAGCGGGGGACCUUCGGGCCUCGACGCCAUUAGAUGAGCCUAGGUCGGAUUAGCUAGUUGGUGAGGUAAUGGCUCACCAAGGCGACGAUCCGUAACUGGUCUGAGAGGAUGAUCAGUCACACUGAACUGAGACACGGUCCAGACUCCUACGGGAGGCAGCAGUGGGAAUAUUGGACAAGUGGGACGUAAAGCCUAGAUCCGAGUCCAUCGCCGCGUGUGUGAAGAAGGUCUUCGGAUUGUAAAGCAGUUUAAGUGGAGGAAGGUUCGUAACCUAAGUACGUUAGAC